AGCGAACGCUGGCGGCAGGCUUAACACAUGCAAGUCGAACGGACCCUUCGGGGUUAGUGGCGGACGGGUGAGUAACACGUGGGAACGUGCCUUUAGGUUCGGAACAACACAGGGAAACUUGUGCUAAUACCGGAUGUGCCCUUCGGGGGAAAGAUUUAUCGCCUUUAGAGCGGCCCGCGUCUGAUUAGAUAGUUGGUGGGGUAAAGGCCUACCAAGGCGACGAUCAGUAGCUGGUCUGAGAGGAUGGCCAGCCACUUUGGGACUGAUACACGGCCCAAACUCCUACGGGAGGCAGCAGUGGGGAAUCUUGCGCAAUGGGCGAAAGCCUGACGCAGCCAUGCCGCGUGAAUGAUGAAGGUCUUAGGAUUGUAAAAUUCUUUCACCGGGGACGAUAAUGACGGUACCCGGAGAAGAAGCCCCGGCUAACUUCGUGCCAGCCGCCGCAGUAA
rnacentral:rRNA from 1 species